UACAUGCAUCCUGAAACUACAAAUGUGGAUCAGGCCCCAUUAAAUUUGGAAAGGCCUGAUCCACAUUUGUAGUUUCAGGAUGCAUGAU